AAUGCUUAUGAUGAAAUUAUUCACACUUUUAUGAAAAUUACAGUGAUUGUUUAUUACAUGCACUACCAACUGAAGCAUU